GGAAGCAUUAGGAGUAGGCUACGCCACUUUUCUAGGUGCUUUUCAAAGUGAUCUUACAAUGAGUGCUAUGUACCCUACUCUAUCAACUAAAAACCCGGACGUGAGUGAAAAGUUACAACUGAAUCAACUCACAUCCAAAAUUGGAGAAAAGAGAUGGGUAGUAUCGACAGAAUUGUGACUUGUCAAGUAUCAUGACGAAAUUUGGCUGCGCGUUGGAGUCAAUUUCCUGCGAAGGCCCGGCCAACACAGACCUAAAUCUUAAUCGUGAAAUGCAAUUAUUUUUUAGUGUUUAGCUAUGUUUUAACUUAAACUUUUCCGUGCUUUUCUAAGAGCUCUUAUAAAUAACUUUUUCCAAUUGUAGUUAUACUCCUUUUUCUCUGUAGACAGUGUUCUAUAAAGAAUGCCAGUCUUCUGUUAGACUACCCAAUUGGUAUUUCCAGCGAAAUUCAUAUUCCAAUAUGAAUUUCAUACUCCAAUAUGAAUUUCCUACCACCUGUCAAUGGACUGCACUCAAGUUCACCAUUCAAUAACGACUCUAAGUUUUCCUUAAGAUUUACACUUAAAGUGUCUAGGAAGACGUUCAAAAAUAUUGAGACUAAUCACGGUUGAGCGCCGCCGGGAACUAUCACCUAGGCCAUGCCCGUGCCUGAAAGAAAAAGUCAGGACGUUGAUUCGAACGGAUUCGAAUGCAACGAGCACUAAGUACGGUCACAUUAUUGGAGGAAUGACCGUGUGCUUGGUUCGUGAUUUGGAGUCACAAGUGAUAGCUGCAAGCUGAUGUCACUCGAACCACUGCACCAACCCGACUAAGCAUGAUCGAAAAAAGCUACAGCUCAUUAUGGCGUCAGUUUAGCUUUAAUGCUAAAUUUCGCAAACACGGUGAACUAGAUUGACAAUAAUAAAAAAUGAACUUUAUUCGUCACUUGCUGUGUUACUUAUUAUUAAGAAUCUCAAUUGUGCUAAACAAAUUUUGACACGCAAAAAAUGCUACAAUAGAAACGGAAACGGUUGCACUCACGGAUCGUGACUGGAACAUGUAUACCAAUCCCGCCAUAAGACCUAGAAGUUACUCUUCGGUUGCCACCAGGUGGCAUAUGAGUAGCAUAUUUCUAUGAAAUCUUUUGAUGGCUGUCUGCUGUCUGCUUAACUGGGCAUUGAUGGCAGGUUAAUUUUUAAAAAGUUUGUACUUCAAAUAUAGGAACUAUCUUGCUUUCGGCGGAUUAUUCUCAGUUGGAACUUCGAAUAUUGGCGCAUUUGAGCGAAGACGCAGGUCUUUGUUCUGUUCUUAGCCAACCCGAUGGCGAUGUUUUCCGCGGCAUUGUAUCGGUUUGGAAAAAGAAAAAGCAAGAAGAAGUCAGAGACGAUGAAAGGCAAAAAGCGAAACAAAUCUGCUACGGGAUUGUUUACGGCAUGGGAUGUAAAUGUUUAGCCGAACAGUUGGAAGUCGGGGAAGAAGAGGCUCAACUCUUUGUUAACACUUUCCACGCAACGUAUCCUAGUCAACCGAUGUGGAAAAAAAUUCAGGAGGAAAAUGAAUUGAGCUGCUGACAUUGGCCUAUUCUGGAAUACAUCAGUUUGCAUCAUAAUCAGAAAGGUUGGUUUACGUUAACGAUCACAUCAUCGCCGUGUCUGAUCCUUUUCGAUUGCACAAUAUGAUGCAGCGAGUGUGGGUGUAUGUCGAAAAUAUAAAUUACGCAGAAACCUCCAUAGAAGGGAAACUUGUGUGAUUAGCAUCACACACACACACACACAAGAGAAUCCAAACACAUCCUUUGUUAUUCAGAUUAUUUUCCCUUUUUUUUUUUUUUUUUGUGU
rnacentral:misc_RNA from 1 species